CGCACAUUGCGCCCCUUGGUAUUCCGGGGGGUAUGCCUGUCCGAGCGUCAUUACACCCCUCAAGCAUAGCUUGGUCUUGGGCGUCGCUCCCCACCAGAGGGCGUGCCUGAAAAGUAGUGGCGGUCCGGCGUGACUUUGGACGUAGUAAAUCUCCCUCGUUCUGAAAGCCUUCACGCUGUGGCCCGCCAGAAUGCGCCACCUUUUGACGAUUGACCUCGGAUCAGGUAGGGAUACCCGCUGAACUUAA
rnacentral:misc_RNA from 1 species